GUUGCUGUAUCAUUUUAAAACUGUCAUUUGUUAAUGUGCUGUUGUUACUAUUGCAGGCUUUGAAAAGUAUGAAGCACUGCCAGACCCGAUUGUGUUACAGCUUACACACACCUGGAACUAAAAGAAAAGAGGAAGAGAAAUGAAAAACAGCCCAGAAGAGUUUUUGAGGGACAUACUCUGCUUCUCCUCAUUUUUUGGGCAGGAGUGCUUCCUGGAGCUGUGAAGGAGGGAGAUGAUGUGUUUUCCCUAGCUGAGGGAGGAUCCCCAGGAGAUCAUACCAGCACUGACCAUGGAUAGGAACAACUCAGGGACAGCUCAGCAUCAUCUGCCCUUCCCUUUGCAUCAAGCUGGUGGAUACUGUGGCUGCAGAUAUAAAGCAAGCACUUUAGGAUUUCAUACAAGUGUCAGGAUGAGGAUUCAGAACAAGCACCCAGGGAAGACUUUUAAUUUUGAAAAAUGUGGAAGGGUUACCUGAGCAAUGGUUCAGGAGAAGACUCUAACCAGGGCAUCUCAAUGGCAUUUACUCUGCAGAGAAAGGGUGAAGUUUUCCCCCUGCUUCACUGAAUAGCUUUAAUACUGGUGUGUAGCUUAGCUAAGGAAAAAGAGAGUUCCUGUCACUCAAAAUAGUACUCUAAUCAUUGAG
rnacentral:lncRNA from 1 species